rnacentral:rRNA from 1 species
GGAGCUUGCUCCUGGGAUCUCAGUGGCGGACUGGUGAGUAACGCGUGAGCAACCUGCCCUAAAGUGGGGAAUAACUCAGGGAAACCUGAGCUAAUACCGCAUGACGCAUAGAGGUGGCAUCACCUUUAUGUCAAAGAUUUAUCGCUUUGGGAUGGGCUCGCGUCCGAUUAGAUAGUUGGUGAGGUAAUGGCUCACCAAGUCGACGAUCGGUAGCCGGACUGAGAGGUUGAACGGCCACAUUGGGACUGAGAUACGGCCCAGACUCCUACGGGAGGCAGCAGUGGGGGAUAUUGCACAAUGGAGGAAACUCUGAUGCAGCAACGCCGCGUGAAGGAAGAAGGUCUUCGGAUUGUAAACUUUUGUCUUCGGGGACGAUAAUGACGGUACCCGAGGAGGAAGCCACGGCUAACUACGUGCCAGCAGCCGCGGUAAUACGUAGGUGGCGAGCGUUGUCCGGAAUUACU